GCUGGAGAGAACCUCAAAAUGUUGUUAACCAUGUGUCGCUCACACUCCUUGCCGGGUUUGCAGCAUGUGCCCGUCUGUUUGCUAUGAGAUUCUGUGAAGCAGUGGGGAAAUGUGUUCAUCUCACCAUCCUACAAUCUACAGAGAUUUCAAUGGAAAGAAUUCCAGCUGAGCACUGACCCAUCAGGUGAAGGCAGCUUGAUUCUGACUGGUCAGAGUGGCUGUGAAGGAGCCUUUGAAAGCUGUUUUGGGCCAUGCCUCAGAUGCCCUACCAACUCUACCAACUACAAAGCUGAAGGAAUUCCUUGCCUCUUUGCUGGCAUUUAGUACACAGUUUCACAUUAUACUGUAUUUGUGUCUUGACGUUUGGGAAUAUGUGGAAAAAAGGAUGGGGUGACAAGAUGGGCACUUUGUGGAGAGCUCUACACCAAUCAAGUAUAAAGCGAUGAAGAAGUAUUUCUACAAGCAUGUUAAGUCCUGGCGGCACCAUGAACCAGACAACCCAGUUGUUUCCCAAUGAAGAAAACACGUCAGGGGAGUGCUACCCAGGGUCUGGGUUGAAAGGCAAGCCCUGGAAUUCAUGAGUGGAUCUGCUCUAUUUUUUGUACAAAUUAGUAGGGAAGGAGCCUCUUCCCUUUUGGAGCAAGCACACAUUCUAUGGCAUUACGCAUGAG